UAUAAUCUCGGGUUAAAUGGUC
rnacentral:siRNA from 1 species